GCCGAAGUGGCGGAAUCGGUAGACGCAGCGGAUUCAAAAUCCGCCGAUGGAGACAUUGUGGGGGUUCGAGUCCCCCCUUCGGCA
rnacentral:tRNA from 1 species